rnacentral:misc_RNA from 1 species
GAUGAAGAACGCAGCGAAAUGCGAUAAGUAAUGCGAAUUGCAGAAUUCAGUGAGUCAUCGAAUCUUUGAACGCACAUUGCGCCCUGUGGUAUUCCGCAGGGCAUGCCUGUUCGAGCGUCAUUUCAACCCUCAAGCUCUGCUUGGUGUUGGGCCCUGCCCGCUGCGGCCGGCCCUAAAGACAGUGGCGGUGCCGCCUGGCCCUGAGCGUAGUACAUCUCUCGCUCCAGUGCCCGGUGGUAGCCUGCCAGAACCCCAACUCUCGUGGUUGACCUCGGAUCAGGUAGGGAUACCCGCUGAACUUAAGCAUAUCAAUAAGCGGAGG